UCAAGAUGAUCAAGCAGAAAAGAUUAUCAAUGCCGCAGAUGAGAACAAUGAAAACAUGCGUCAAACAAGUAUCUAGCUUCCGAUGAGUACUAACAUAACAUUGCGAGCCCCUCCAUGAAGUAAAAAAUCAAGCAAGAAUACUAGAAGAAAUCAAAUCAUCAAUAGAAAAGGUGAAGUGAAACAUCGGUGCAAAUCAGUAAUAAGGAAUGAAAAGCAAGCAAAGAAGCCCAGUGAAACCAAACCAAUAAAGAAACCUACCAAAUCUAAACCAGUAACAUGGAAAAGAAAAAGAAAUACUAGGCAUGAGCCAGCGAUGGAGAAAGAAAAAGAAAAAAAAUAAAACUCAAAUGAAAGUGAUUCAGAUGUAGAAGAAGUAAUAUACAGUGAUUCAGAUGUUGAAGAAGUAACCCUUUCCGGUUCCAUACCGCCGAGUGCUUUGUAGGUUGAUAAAAAAUGGCAUUAGUGCUUCAUUACUGGGAACUUCAACUCUACAGCAAGAUUCCAUGUCGUCGAUCCCUUACUACUGUCCACAACUUCGUGUUGAGGAACUAGUAACAUUAGACGGUAAAAGAACUCAUAACCUUGUCGAAAACCAAAGCUUAUUAGCAGUUGUGCUGGACUAAUGCUAUUCGAGAUUGUGUUAGCACGUGUCCAGGUUUAUGGUCGCAUGUGUCGCUGAUGGUUUCCUGUGUCGCAGACAGUGCUACCCAGUAACGUCAUUGAAAGGAUAUAAGGAUUGUGCCGUGUUUUGUGUAUUCUGUAGACUUGAUGUCACGAGCCUUACUAAUCUAAUUUAACCUUUAUGACAACAUAUUUUGUAUUGAGAACUCCAAAAAUUUCUAAUGUUUAAUUAUUUUUGGAAUGGUUUGAAAUUGGUAGUCAUUGUAAUGGUUCGGUCCUCUCCCGGCAGUGAAGUAGGCUUAAAAUGGUAUUCUGGUGAAACUAUUGCUGCAGUGUUUUGCAGUAGUUCUUGCUUUGCAAAAAUGCGCAGUCACUGUUUUCGGUGAUCUGCAAUGCAAGUAGGCUACGAGAUUGGCAUUUGCAACUUAGAAUAUGUCUCUGCCGCAUUUUUUUUUUUUGUCUCUGCAGCAUUUGUUCAUACUGUUGCAAGUCUUGUUCUCCCAUUGCAAACUGCUAUAGUCACUGUUUCUUGAUCUGCAGUCCAGUAUGUUAUGAGUUUGGAGUCUAUACCUUAGAUUCUGUACUUGCAGUGUAUUAUAUAUAGCAUACUUGCAUUGG